rnacentral:lncRNA from 1 species
CUACUCUGAGAUCAGACGUGGCUACAGAUGACUAGAAAAGGAAGGUCCUCUCUUCUUUCCAGCUGUCCUUUGCUGCCUGUGCUUAAUUUCUAUCUGCCUUCUGUGAGUGCCUUGGGCAGAAGCACAGUGCUUUAGUCUUAUACUGAUCAAUCUACUUUUCCUUUUCCAUCCUCUGCCAUUCUGGAAUCAUCUGGGGCUUCAUCUUUAUGUCCUUCCAAAUCUUUAGCAUUUUGUCCAGUGUUUUUAUAGCUUUAUCUGCUUUAGAAUUUCAUGCAGCCAGGCAUGGUGGCACAUGCCUAUUAUCCCAAUGCUUUGGGAACCUGAGGUGGGCAGAUCACUUGAGGCCAGGAGUUCAAGACCAGCCUGAGCAACAUGGCAAGAGCCUCGUCUCUACAAAAUUUCAGAAAGUUAUCUGGAUGUCGUGGCACGCGCCUGUUGUCCCAGCUAUGUGGGAGGCUGAGGUGGGAGGAUCACCGGGACCCAGGAAGUUGAGGCUGCAGUGAGCUAUGAUUGCACCACUGCACUCCAGCUUGGGUGACAGCGUGAGACCUUGUCUCAAAAAAAAAAAAAACCAAAUAAAUAAAGUCACAUUCUUCCCUAGAGCAUAAAGCAAUAAUUUUUAAUAACAACUAUAUCACUCAUUAAAAUUAUCUUCUCCUUCUCAUCCCAACACUGUGUCAAACAGGAAUCUGCUGUGGAUGGCAUUUGCCAAUAAGAAAUUGUGGCUUUGGCUUUAGAAAAAUCCAGAUCAACUUUUUGUGGCCAAAAUUCACCAGAAAUAUAUUUAACUCUCUCCUUUCCUUUAAUCACAGAAGCUUGGCCCAAAAUGCUGAUCUUUCCUGGAGCUGGCCAUUCUAGCAUUACAUGGGUGUUCCCCAUAGAAGAGAACAAUCAACAAGAUUAAGUUACUCUUGAGUUCUUAAUUGAUUUUCCAGAACUUCCUCUUACUACCACAAAACACAGCUUUCUGAGCAAUGCAUUCAGUUGAGCCUAAUCCUGUUGGGAACUUUAGUGAACAAGACACAUUCUGGAAAUAAACAUGAUUUCACAUGUAAAUAACUGAUACUCUUGACCUCCCCAAUAACCCUUACCAGGCUGGUGCCAAAACAGGUUCUGUGUUCAUGUUACACACUCUGAGAAUGGUUUAAAUGCUCUUCCUCUCCAGAGUUUUGUUGUACAAAAUAUGUACUAGAAAAAAAGAGGCCAUUCUGACAGGACUCGUCAGUGCCUUGACAUGAAAAGAUUUUGGUCAGGCUAAUUACAGUAAUUGUAUUUAGUCAUUCUGACUUGGUAUAAUUUCCUGUCUUGUCGGUAAUGUAUAGUUACACCUAAACAAAACAGAGUUAAUCUCUUUUAAGUAAGAGAUGGCAUGGCUCCUUUGUAGUGUGCGUAUUAACCUAAAUGGGAAAGCCUACAUAGGACUAGGUUCUAGUUCAGGAACACUCCUGCCUUGGAAUACCCCCCGAGGGCCUGCAGAGCGAAUGAAUGCUCCCUGUGUGUGAGUUCCACAGAACUGAAGCACCAUUCAGAGGAGUUCUCUCCACAGGCCUUGUAUCAAGGGUCAGGAAACUUUUUUCUAAGGGCCAGGGAGCAACCCUAUAAGGCUUUGUGAAUCACGUGCCUUUGGUUAUACCUCUCAACUGCCAUUGUAGUUCAAAGGCAGUCACAGACACUAGGUAAGGAGAAGAUGGGCAUGGCUGUGUUCCAACAAAACUUUACCUAUAAAAACAGGCUUUGGGCUAGAUUUUACCCAGGGGCUUGUAGCUUGCCAUCCCUCACUUUACUUUUUUUAUGGAGCAAUUGCUACAUUACACCGCAAUUAUCUGUGAUUUGCCUGUCUCCUCCACAAACCUACGAAGAUUCUGCACUGUGAAAUGUUUUCACAAAAGAAGUCCAAUCAUUGGGUAACCCAUUGUAAAAAUAACUGAUUCUGGCAGAGGUUUUCAGUGGAUAAGAAAACAAGUGGGAGAGUUUAAUGAAAAACAGGAUAUUUGCAUAAUCCCCAAAUAUCACCCCACAACAUGCAUAUAAAUUCCAAAGGGGGAAAAUCGUAAAUUUACAGUGGAAAAACCUGGCAGAAAUCCCGUCAAUCAAAUGAUCAAAGUUAAUAUACCUGAUAAUGUGAUAAACCAACACCAGGUACCUCUGUGGGAUUCCUGCUAAAAAUAAAUAACUUGGAUUCAAUCAUGAGAAAACAUCAAACAAACCCAGGAUGAGGGGCAUUCUACAUAUUAAGUUGGUGCAAAAAUAGCUGCAGUUUUUACCAUGACUUUUCAUGGCAAAAACCACAAUUACUUUUGCACAAACCUAAUACAUGUCAAUAUCAUGAAAGACAAAGAAUGAGGAACUGUUCCAGAUUAAAGAAUGGAAAAAAAGCUGGGUGUACUACAUUUUAGUAGUAUAAAAGUGGUGCCUGCCUGUUCAAAAAUAUUCCAAUCAUAUGAAAUUUUUUUAAAGUUAAAAAUAAAAAUCCCCACUCUCUGAGACAAAACCGCUGAAAAUAACUUGAAUUUUGGGCUUCUAGAUUCUACGUGCUUCUGGGUCCCUCACUAUGCUACUUUAGUAGGAGCAGAGCGAUGUACUAUCAGGCAUUUUAACAAGUUCACCGGCUGAUGCUUAUGCUCUUUACUCUAAAGCUUGAGAGACCUCUUGUCUUUGACCUUUCUGUUAACACAAAUUGUGUGUGUAUGCAUAUAGUUUUGCACAUACACUCUUGUAGAAAUUAAACUCAUACCCACAUGCCUAAAUGGAAUCCACAACCAAACUGAAUGCUGCCUGGCUAUCUUGACUCAAUGAUCAGUCAUUGAUACCCCCUCUCCCGCACCCCGCCGGCAGCUUAGGCAGCAACAGCUCAUACUUUUACACAGCUGUUUAAUAUUCCCCAGAAGGGAUCAACAAACGUCCUUUAACCAACCCCCACUAAUAGGCAUUAGUGUUGUUUUCAGUUAUUUAGAGCUGGUUUUGGAUCCCACCUUGCCCACUUGGUAGUUGCGUGCCCUUGGAGGAGCUGUUCAACUUUUUUUACAACUCACUUUUUUCCUGCAUCUGUGAAGCUAGGCAGUCUCCCCCAGGUUGCUGUGGGGUUUGGAAGUGUUUAGCUGAGGGAAAGUGCACAACAUGGUGCCCAGCACAGAAUCAAUCAGGGAUUCAAUAACAGCUGAAUUUCACUCAUUUUCUGACUGGUCUCAUACUUUGUUUAGGGUCUAAAAUAUGGUAUUCUAGGCUGGGCAUGGUGGCAUACACUUGUAAUCCCAGCACUUUGGGAGGCUGAGGUGGGCGGAUCACCUGAGGUCAGGAGGUCAAGACCAGCCUGGCCAACAUGGUGAAACCCCGUCUCAACUAAAAAUACAAAAAUUAGCCGGGCGUGGUGGUGCGUGCCUAUAAUCCCAGCCACUUGAAAGGCUGAGACAGGAGAAUCUCUUGAACCCAGGAGGCAGAGGUUGCAGUGAGCCAAGAUCAUGCCACUGCACUCCAGCCUGGGUAACAAGAGUGGAAACUCCAUUUAAAAAAAAAAAAAAUAUAUAUAUAUAUAUAUAUAUGAAUAGUAUUCUAAGACAAAGUCCCAGUUCUCCAGCUGGGAUACUGUGGGGGUGUGGUUUGAAGUCCAGGCACCUGCCAUGUGAAUGGGGCUCUGCUUUUUGUAGUGCCAACUCUGGGCCACUGUGUGUACUGCCACAACACAAAAAAACAAGUUCAAAGCUGCUUUGGAGAACACAUCUUCAAACGGUGUUGGAAUUUUUUCUUUCAAUUUUUAUUUUUAUUUACUUGUUUAUUUAUUUUUGAGACAGGGUCUUGCUCUGUUGUCCAGGCUGGAGUGCAGUGGCACAAUCAGUGCUCACCGUAGCCUUGUCCUGCUGGGCUCAAAUGAUUCUCCUUCCUCAGCCUCCUGAAUAGCUGAAACUACAGGCAUGCACCACCAUGCCUGGCUAAUUUUUUGUAUUUUUUGUAGAGAUGGGGGUGGGAGUUGCCAGGGAGAAGGGAAGGUCUCACCAUGUUGCCCAAGCUGGUCUCGAACUCCUGGGCUCAAACAGUCCGCCUGCCUUGGCCUCCCAAAGUGCUGGGAUUACAGAUGUGAGCCACCGCGGCUGGCCUCAAUGUAAAAUUUUGACAUAAUUUCAGACAUAUAAAAGAUGCAAGAAGAGUACAGAUUCUUUACUCGUAUUCCCCAAAUGUUAACAUUUACCACACUUAUUUUAUAUCUACACACACAAACACACAUUUUUGUCCUGAACCUUUUUAGAGUCAGUUGUGGCUACAAUGACGAACUCUUCUCAGUUUGUCUGGGACUUUCCUGAUUUUAACAUUGAAAGUACUGCAUCUAGGACCCCCAGAAGUCUUGGGCAAACCAAGUCAAUUGGUCACCUUAGUUGCCCAGGUACCCGUAAAUACUUCAGUGUGUGUGUACUAAAAUCAAGGACAUAACCACUGUAUAAUUAUCAAAAUCUGGAAAUUAGCUGUUCUGGAAAAAUGCAUCCUUCCUAAUGUCAGGUGCAAGGUAAAGCCCAGGGCUUAGCUUAUUUGUGCAAACACUGUCUAUGCUUCUGGAAACAAUGGUUGUGGUAUCCCCAAAGAAGUGGAUGCCAGGGAGACCGACACUCAACAGGCAAAGGCAGGUAGUGACUUCCUGGGGCAGCCGCUGGAAGCAAAGACAAAAGAAAUCCCCAGCGACUAACUGGUUCCUAAAACAAAAGAGUAGCUGACCUUUUCUUUUUCCCUUUUGUGUUUGUGAGCAGCUUGCUUUCACCUGGGGUGUCUGUUUCCUCUCCCAGGGCAGUGGCCCCUGAAGUUUGGGCACCAGUGGGGUGUGAGCUAUCAAGGUAGUGAAGGUAGGACGUCCCCUGGUGGGAAUGACUGCUGGGCAUCUGCCAGUGUUCCUGUGCUCCUGGAGUCCUGCUUCAGCUCUGGGGUGGUUUUGCAUCUGUUUCCCCUCAACAGAGAGGGGAAUGGUGGAGAGAGGAGGGAAGCAUCCACAUGGACACAAGAAAGAAUUGAUGGUCUAAAUGGAUCCAGCAUCUUGUCAUUUCUCAUCAUCUCUACCACAUAUACCCUGGUCCAAGCUGCCACUGACUCUCUCCCAGAUGAUGGCAACAGCCACAGUCAUCAUCAUGGCAAAAGCUAUGGCUUCCCUGCCUCUGCUCUUGUCACCUUUAGUCUGUGCUCAACAUUGUGACCACAGUAAUCUUGUUAACCUUGAAAUCAGAUCAUGUCACACUUCUGCCUCCAGGGGCUUCCCAUCUCACUCAGAGUAAAUUUCAAACUCCUUACUGUGGCUCAUGAGGCCCUACCCAGUAUGGCUCUCAGACACCUUUCUGACUUUAUCAAAUACUAGUCUCAGCCCUGGUCACCCAUCUACAACUGCCCUUGCCUCUUGCUAUUCCUCAAGCUACUCAAAUAUCUCAUGACUCAGAGCCACCGUGCUUUCCCUUCCCUUGACCUGGAAUGCUCGUCCCUCAGAUAUCAACAUGACUUUCUUACUCACCAAUUUCGGUCCUUUUCUCAAAUAACCCCUUCUCAGUGAGGCCUUCCCAUUCCUACUCUAAAAUUGCAAACUUCAACAUUUUUCUCUCUGCUUUGCUUUUUAAUGGACAAUAAUUACAUAUAAUUGUGGGGUACAAUGUGAUGCUUUGAUCUAUGUGUACAUUGUAGAAAGAUUCAUUCAAGCUAAUUGACAUAUCCGUUAUCUUAGUAACUUACUUUUUGGAGGAUGAGAACAUUAAAAAUCUAUGCUUUUAGCAAUUAUGAAAUAUGUGAUACAUUGUUAUUCACUAUGGUUACCAUGCAGUACAAGAGAUCACUAAAACUUAUUCUUGCAGUCUGAAACUUUGUACUGUUUGUUCAACAUCUUUUCUUCCCCAUCUCUUCCCUUCUCCACCUGCCCACCCCUAUCCUCCAACCUGGACCCUAGCUUUUGGCAUCUUUCUACUCUAUUUUUAUGAGAUUGACUUUUCUAGAGUCCACAUGUAAGUUGAGAUCAUACAGUAUUAGCCUUUCUGUGCCUGACUUAUUUCGACCAAGCAUAACAUCCUCCAGUUCCAUCAUGUUGUUGUGAAUGGCAGAGUUUCCUUCUUUUUAAAGGCUGUAUAGUAUUCCAUUGUACAUAAAUACCACAUUUUAAAAAUCUAUUUAUCCAUUGAUGGGCACUGAGGCUCUUGUGAAUCAUGCUGAAAUGAAUGUGGUAGUGCAGAUAUCUCUUUGACAUACCAAUUUCAAUUCUUUUGGAUAUAUGCACAGAAGUGGGAUUGCUGGAUCAUAUGCUAAUUCUAUAUGUAGUUUUUUUGAGGAACCUCCAUGCUGCUUUCCAAAAUGGUGGUACUAAUUUCCCUCUCUCUGUUUACUUUUCACCAUAGCACCUACUCCAUAAAAUAUAUUAUAUGUUUAACUCAUUUGGUGAUCAUCUUUACCCCCAUUAGACUGUAAGCUUCAUCAGUACAGGGAUUUGUUUUCACAGCUGUCUUCUCAGUGCCCAGAACAUCACCUGGAAUACAGUGGGCAUAUAAAAAUAUCUGUUGACUGGCUACCAAAUGAAUGGUAUUCACUCGACUCAGCUUUCUGUAUCCCUCUGGCCCCUACACUGCAUUUAGUGUAGGGAUGCAUGGGUGCCAAUAUGGCGCCUGGAAGAAAGGACGUUUGCAAUCAAGCAUGCACAUGAAGAGCAGUUAGCAGUUCCAGACUGUAUGAAAGCUUCUCGUGUCCUUGCCACACUUUCUUUUGAGGGUCUCACCCCACAUCUUAGCAAAGAUAUUUAAAUGCUCCUCCCUUCCCCAUGAAACAGAAUUUUGGCUGAGAUUUUUUCAAAGGAGUAUCAUAGUUUUGUCUUUGAAAUCAUUUGGCAAGGAACAACUCAUUGAAUUUUCAGUUGGCUCUGAUUCUCUGCAGUCAUCAUGCACACUUGAAGUAAAACAAAAUCUACCAUUAACAUUGUUUUCAAAUGUAAUGAAAUUUUUCUAAAUAAUUCAACAGUUGAUCACAUAAGUGUAAUUCUGUGCUUUGUGGGCAUUCAUGUAAACAGGUAUUUAUUUUAACAGGUUUUGUAGUACUCCUUGUGUGUUUGAGGCAGUAAUUAUUUUCCUUUGGGAUUUAGCCAUGUUUCUGGGCUCUUGAAAUCUCACAGGACCUAGAUCUUGGACCUGGAAAAUUAGGCAGAUAAAAUAGUCCUGCAAGAAUGAGAGACUGGAGAAAGGUCUCCCUGCACUUGCCUGCGAAUGCAGGUCCUGGCCCAGUGGUUCAAUGGUGGGGCUGUCCUGUAACUGUGCCAGGGAGUCAGAAGCCAUGGCGGGGCUCACCGUGGUCAUGCUGGAAGUCCCUGUCCCUGUCUGCUCAUCACACACAGGUCAGCAGGUACCCGUUCUUUAUGUGUGGCAGACCUCUGGUGGCCAGGCGGACCACUUUUCUCCACGGCCCUUCUCUCUCCACUUCCACCUGCAUGCUCUCCUGAGCCCUGGUGGCAGAAAUGUUUUCCUUGACAUUUUAUGACACUUUGGCAGAAUUCUGUUGACUCAUCUAAGACAAGAUGGGGAAUUGUUCUGCAGCAGUCGCCACAUGGGGAAACAGAUCACUUAGUCACAUCAUCUGCCAAGCCCCGCUGUUGCCUGUGCAAAGCAUUUCUAAUCACGGAAACUUGAAAGCUGUCCCUCAUUUGUGAUGACAUUAGCCAUGGUGAUUUUUUACCCCUGUCUUAAGCUGUCAGUCGCUGGGGUUUUCUUGUUACUCUCUCUGGCAGAGACACAUUUAUUUAUCACACAAAAGCCUGGCUCUGAAGGGAUUUGUGCAAACUUCCUUCUGGAGAUGAAAAGAAAACAUCUCCUUCCUGGCCUGUGCCAUCUACUGAAAAGCUUUCCAAGCCAAAUGUGAGUGACUGUCCUAGUGGACAGAUGUCACCCAGAGCAGGCCUGAAUCAUUUUGUUUGUUUUUCUUGCUAACCCAACACGACUUUGAACCCACUUCAUUAAUAAGAGAGACAGGAGCACGAAACCCUUUUUACUUCCUGCUUUCUUCCCAGUGUGCUGACAUUUCCAAGCCCCAUAUGUUUCCCUAAAUAAAGUUCCAUGGAAAUAUAUAUUUUUUUGAAAAAUCCUGUUUUUGGGUUAUUACAGCCCAAGAGGAAAAAAGGCUGCCAGUGGACUAUGUAGGGCCCUUUACGUAAUGCUAUGAUUGUUUCGACCCCUCUUGAUAACAGCAGGCUCGUUUAAAUGGUUAACGUUGAGAUGCGGUUGAAGACCUGUAAUAAAUGUAUACUUCUUCAUUUAGGCAAGUACAUUAGCUACAGUCAAUCUGCAACAGCGGGGAAGCACUAAGCCACAAACAGGAAAUAGUUUGAAUAAAUAUUUCCCAUUCUAAAAUGAAUGACUAGAUAGAGUUUAAAACAUGUCAGACUCUUGUAGAGACAUGAUAGACAUUUGCUGGUUACCUCUCCAGCAGGGAUCCAGUCCCACCCUUCCCCACCUUGAUUUUCCUUGGGAUCACUCUACCCUUCCACUCUCAAUAGUGGUCCAGACCAGACUGACCCUGCCCAGGAGUAGACUGUACUUGACUCAAGCUGUAUUAGUUUGUUUCCACGCUGCUAAUAAAGACAUACCCAAGACUGGGCAAUUUACAAAGAAAGAGGUUUAAUGGACUUACAGUUCCACGUGGCUGGGGAGGCCUCACAAUCAUGGCAGAAGGCAAGGAGGAGCAAGUCACAUCUUACAUGGAUGGCAACAGGCAAACAGAGAGAGCUUGUGCAGGAAAACUCCCAUUUUUAAAAUCAUCAGAUCUCGUGAAACUUAUUCACUAUUGCAAGAACAGCGGGAAAGACCUGCCCCCAUGAUUCAAUUACCUCCCACCGGGUCCCUCCCACAACACGUGGGCAUUCAAGCUGAGAUUUGGGUGGGGAUGCAGCCAAAACAUAUCUCAAACCCAUCCAUGUACCUAUUCCUCAGGCCACAUUGAUUGGUCAGGGAUGGGUUUGUGAUACAAUUUGGGUUAAUGAGAGAGGUGACAAUAACAGUGUUUCUGUGGAAGAUACACAGAAGAGAUUCUCUGUUCCCAGACCACACCUAGAGUGAAGUGAAGAUGUGGGGUGUGGAAUUGCCAGAGCAAUUUGCUACCAUGGGGAGAGAGCCCAGAGUUGCGGGGGCCUUUGUGUGGAAUCUGGAGAUGGGUCUGUCACCAGUGGAGAGAUGAUAAGAGCCAUAUCCUGGGUGGCUUUGACCCACUAGAAGCCAGUCUUGCCUCUGGACUUCUCAGCUAGGUGAGCCAAUAAAUUAUCUUUGCUGCUUAAGCUUGUUCUAGGUUUUCUGUCACUUGCAACCACAAGAGUCCUAAGUGAUUUAAGGUUGCUAACACUCUUUCUAGCCAGACCUUAGGCAGCAUCUAAAGAAACUGAAAGCUUGUCGUCAGUGUAUUUUUGUUUCUUUGUUAUGGUUUUUACCUCUGCAGGAUUCCUCCCCUCUUCCUUCUUUAUACAGAACCCCACUGACUCUUAGUGAGCCACCCGGGCUGACUGCCUGACCGCUGGCUCCAGUGAUGGGCACAUGGCCCAGGCAUAACUAAUAGGGCAUUCCAUUCACAGGGCUAUUUGAUUGGAUCAGGGAUGGGUGCAUGAUCCCAAGAUGGCCAGUAUAAAUAAGAUCCAGGAAUUUAUUUUAACUCUUACUUAAAAGACAAUUGGCUGGAUUUGCUGAGGGAAGAUUUAAACAUCUUUGUGGACAUGUUUGCCACCACAUGGGGAGAGCAUUCCUGAACAUGCAGCAAUAGAGAACAAAGACGAGAGAUAAAGAGAUGAUAAGAGAAGGACCAAGUUCUAGCAACAGUGCGUGAGGCCUGAAUCCAGCCAUGCCGGAAGCAUGUGAAGCAGUAACUUCGUUCUUAUUAAGACAACUGCAGCUGGAUUUUCUGUCAUUUGCAGUUUCAAAUGUUGACUAACACAGAUAUGAAGUAUCUUUUCACAGUAAUAUAUUUCUCUCUAUCAUAAUAUUCUUAUUUUCUACUAGUAUAAAACUAAUGAAUGCUCAAUGCAGAAAAUCCAGAAAACAAACAAACAAAAAUAAAUAAAGCAAAAUUCACUUGUAGUCCUAUGACUCUGAAAUUAUGACCGUCAGCUUCUGAGUGUAUGUCCUCUGGGUCUUUUUCGUAUGCAUAUUUAUGAACUUCUACAACAUAGUUUCCACAUUAUAUUACUGCACUACAAUUUAGUUAAUUCCUUCUUUUUAACAGUGGGGUCAUUUUCUUUCUUUCUUUCUUUUUUUUUUGCUAUCAUUUACUUCUUAGUAUUAUGAACAUCUGUGUUGAUACAUCUUUGCACAUAUUUCUGGACAUUCCUUAGAAUAAAUUCACAUGGCCAUAUGCAUAGUAAGUUCUUCAUUAAACUUUUUCCAAUUUUGUAUUCCACAUAACAUUUAAGCAAACAUGUUUAUGCAUUCCUUUGUAUAGAAUAAACUUCUAGAAGUACAAUUGCUGGGUACAGAGCAUGCCUGUUUAACGAUAUACAUUGCCAAACUGCUCUGCAGAAGGUUAUUUAAAUUUAUAACAAGGCAGCUCUUCCACACACACUGGAUAUUCCUGUCACCUCAAUUACUAGACGAAUGUUUUCUUUUUAUGUUUGUUGGCUAUCUAUAUUGAUAUUUUCUUGAUUUGCCUCUUCAUUUGCAAUAAUUUAGGAUUUUUUUUUUUUUUGAGACAGAGUCUCACUCUGUCAUCAGGCUAGAUUGCAGUGGCACAGUCUUGGCUCACUACAACCUCCAGCUCCCUGGUUCAAGCGAUUCUCCUGCCUCAGUUUCCCGAGUAGCUGGGACUACAGGUGCACACCACCACGCCCAGCUAAUUUUUGUAUCUUUAGUAGAGAUGGGGUUUCACCAAGUUGGCCAGGAUGGUCUCAAUCUCUUGACCUCAUGAUCCGCCUGCCUUGGCCUCCCAAAGUGCUGGGAUUACAGGCAUGAGCCACCACGCCUGGCUGAUUUAGGAUUUUUAAACUUUUCUUUCAGGAGUAACUAGGUAUAUAAGGGCAUGCCUCAUUAGUCAGUAAUUUUUAUUUUUUCAAUGACAUUUUCUUUAAUUUUUCAACAUUAAGAAAAAAAUCCAGGCCAUAGUGAAUGUAGUUUGGUUGGAAACACUCAUUGUUCACUGUUUUGAAGAUUUGCUGCCAAUUUUCUCUAUCAGUGACCUGCCACAAAUUAGUUAAGUAGCAUGAUCUGAGAGGUGCUAUUGUGUGGUUAUACUAGUUAAGUAAAAGGGGUUUGGAGCCAGACUUUUGGGUGCAACUCCCAGCCCUACCACUUAGUUGUGUGACAUCAGAAAAAUUACUUAAAAAUCUCUGUGCCUCAUUUUUCUCAACUGUAAAACAGGGUUAAUAGUAUCUCCUUCAUAGAAUUGUUAUAAUAUCAGUAGGAUGAAUAAGGCCAUUGAAACAGGGCCUGGUCCAAGUUAAGCCUGCAAUAAACAUUAACUAUUAGUAAUGGCAUAUGAAAAUAGCUAAGCUGGCCGGGCAUGGUGGCUCACGCCUGUAAUCCCAGCAGUUUGGGAGGCUUAGGCGGGCGAAUCAUUUGAGGUCAGGAGUUCAAGACCAACCUGGGCAACAUGGCGAAACCCCAUCUCUACUAAAAAUACAAAAAUUAGCCAGGCUUGGUGGCAUGCACCUGUAAUCCCAGCUACACAGGAGGCUGAGACAGGAGAAUUGCUUGAACCCAGGAGGCAGAAGUUGCAGUGAGCUGAGAUCGUGCCAUUGCACUCCAGCCUUGGUGACAGAAAGAGACCUUGUCUCAAAAAUAAAAAGUGAAAAAAAAAUUCAAAGAUCAUAUUUUUGUAAUAAAAGAACAAUUUAAUUCCCACUGCACAUAGGACUUCGCAUUCUGCCUGCCCAUUGUUUAACUCUAGUAUCAGGGAAUUCCUGCCCAGCUGCUGGAUACAUAUUCAGUGACAGCAAUAAUCAUGAAUAGAAGGAUAUUUCAAACAGUUUAAAGUUGAUUUAUAUUUGUGCCCUUACUGUCUGCUCAUAGUAGGUGAACAUUAUUUAGAGGGGGGAAAAAUAAGUGUCAUUAUUACUAAGUUUUAAAUUCUAAACAAAGAGAUCAUUCUUAUUAAGAUAUUAGAGCUGUUACAAACAUAAAAUGCUUCUCAUCUCUCUCCAAUAUACCUUUCAAAAUUCUCUCUUUGAAAAUCAUUGUUAUAGAUGAUGUCCGCGUGUAUUUUGUUAGAUUGAGUUUAGAUCAAUAUUCCACAACCCUAACAAUGAAUAGAGUCCAGUAAAGUUUGGCCUAAUGGCAUUUCAAGGUCUAUAACUGUUGGCGAGCAGGAAAGACUACUGUUUUAACUUCAUGAGGGUUACUGCCCCGGUGGCGGGUGGAUGUUUAUAAUGGUUCCGGGUGUGGGUGGUGACGUAGAUUCAGAGCAUGGAGGAAAGUGAAGUGCUAUUAGCAAUAAAAGAUAAACCCUUCCAGAAAUAAUAACUGUUAUGAAACCGGAAAGAACCUCCCAGCCGUGCAGUUCAACCCCCUACUGAGAUAUGAGGCGAGGCAAGUCUCUCCCCUAAACUGGUUACAUAAUAUUUUUUUCCUCAGGAGGUUUCACUACCUCUUUUAUAAACUGUUAAUGUGUUUAUUGAAUCGUAUCAUGGAGAAAGGAAACUAAUGAUUAACUUUUAACCAUGAUAGCUUGGCCUUGCCAUGAUACUUCUGGUGAACUGAUGGAGACUGCUCUUCCAUAGCCUUUCCUGGCUCCUUAACACAAAUUCAAUCACAGUAAGUGGCAAAUGCUUAUAAAGAUGGAAAACACUUUAUUUUCAUCUUCACUUAAUUAAAACAGCCAACUUUAAAGGUAUUACUGUUUCAGGAAUCUCUCUUCUUCAUCACCAAAUCUAUCCUUUGGGUCAAAAUCAUCAGGCAUUGGCAGGCACAGUGACUCACGCCUGCAAUCCAAUCAUUUUGGGAGGCCAAGGGAGGCAGAUCACUUGAGGCCAGGAGUUCAAGACCAGCCUGGCCAACAUGGAGAAACCUCGUCUCUACUAAAAUACAAAAAUUAGUCAGGCAUGGUGGCAGACGCCUGCAGUUCCAACUACGCAGGAGGCUGAGGCAUGAGAAUUGCUUGAAUCUCGGAGGCAGAGGUUGCAGUGAGCCAAGAUUGCACUACUGCACUCCAGCCUGGGCGAGAGAGCAAGACUGUCUCAAAACAAAACAAAACAAAAUCAGGCUGGCACUCACCUACUCAGCCCUAACUUCAAGCAAAUGUUUUUGAGGAUGGAACCAAUUUAUUAGAGCUUUCUUUUUUUGUUUUUUGUUUUGUUUUUUUUUUUUUGAUAGGGUCUUGCGAUGACACUCAGGCUAGAAUGCAGUGCCUAUUUACAGGUGCAAUAAUGCACACUGCAGCCUCGAACUCCUGGGCUCAAGCAAUCCUUCUGCCUCAGCUUCCUGGGUAGGUGUGAAUACAGGCAUGUGUGCCGCUGUGCCCAGCUAUUUUAUUAGGCUUUGAGAUUAACGUAGGCCACCUGACAAAUCCAUAUCUGAAAAUACUUAAAAUAGCUUUGAAAUGGUUCCUCUAAGAUCUCGUUUGGCAGAUGCUUUGACAGCUAUGGGGUUAAAGGGUAGAUGGAAACUGUCCAGAACCGCCAGUCAGAACUCCCCAGCUCUGGCCCUGACUCUGGCUUUCCUUAGGCGUGUAGUCCCCAGGAGGCUUAUGAAGUGCUCUGAGCCUUGAUUUCCCCUUCUAUUAAAUGGGCUUGUCAGAGGACCAACAGGCUGUGAGUUUGAACACAAGGGAUGCCCAUUCUGAUCACCACCCUUAGGUAGACUUAAAGUAUGUCAUUGAAGAACAUGAAUUUCAGCCUCUUAGGCUCCAGCUUCAACUGCCUUAGAAGGAGGCAACAUGACCUGUGAACUCUAGCUUGGCCUAAAGGAGGCUCUUCUGGUAGCCUUGCUAGAACUCCGUUACUGGAGCAGAGCCAAAAAGAAAGUACUGAGACAACUUUGGCUGUUUCAUAGAAUGUUGGAGCUGGUAGUUUUGUGUUGAAAGGUUAUCAAAAGGAGACCAUUUUGUCAUUUCCAAAUCAUCUUUGGACUAGCCUGUGCUUGAAUGGUAAAAUACUUGAUGAAAUGACAUUUUUAAAACUUCUAAGACACUGCUCCCCAAAUCUAUGCACGUCCAAGUAUAGUGCAGUAAAGUAAAGCGGUUGAGAGUGUGGGCUCGGGAGCACCCCCAUCUUCAAAUCCUGCUUUUGCCACUUAUUAGCUGUGUGACCUUGAACAAAUUACUUGACCACUCCGUGCAUCAGUUUCUUCAUUGGUAAAUAGGGAUAAUAAAAGUACCUACCUUCUAAGACUGUAAGGAAACCCUGAUAAAUUAACAAAUACAAAGGACUUAGCACAGUGCCUGGAUGUUGUAAGUGCUGUGUUUAACGUUAGCCCUUACACUAGGGCUUGGUCAUUGGUAGGCACUGAGUACAUGUUAGAUUUUACUGGACUGUUUUAGAUGGUGGAGGCUGUGAUGCAGGAGAAUGGAAAGAACUCAGGAAGGGAGAUUAGGACAAAUCCAUUUAGUUUAUAUUCCUUAGUCACUGUAUUUACAACUUUUAUCAAACCAAUUAUCUUUCUUAAGAGCUAUGGACUUUGCUUGGGCAUCCACAGAUGCCCAGAACUCAAGAUUGGAAGGAAACAUGAAGCUCAAAUAACAAGUAAUUAGAAGGAGCUCACUUUGAAAAAUAUGUUUGCUUUCAAAUGGAGCUUUAAAUGAGCUCAUGGGAAGUUUAUUAUAAAACGGUUGCCUGCACCAAAUGCCUUAAUGGGAAAAACCUUAUCGCAGUUCAGUUGUUUAAAUAAUACACAGACCAUGUCCCUCCUGAGUCUCUGUUCUCGCUGUGGGAGUCAAAGUUUCUUUGAAUGUCCCAAAGUAUUCCAAAGCAAUCACAAAAACACAUUUCAGAUUUAGAAGGGAAUUUAGAAAUCUCUCAUCGUAAGCCCUCUAUAGCUGAAGAAACAUCCCCAAAGGGCUAGAAUGAUUUGCCCAAGGCCACUUAGCAACUGGCUAAGCUCAAAUCAACACCCACUUCUUUAACUCCUAUUUCAGGGCCUUUUCCUCUAACUCAUCUUCAGUCUUGGGUAGGUGUUAGGGAGGAAAGGAAGCUGCUGCAUGAAGAUGUGGAAUUUUCCCAUUUUUCCCCUCUCUCACACAGAAAAAGGGAUAAAUUGAUCACAUACCUACAGAAACAAUUAUAACUGAGCUGAGAAAGUGUCUAGGCUAAGCAAUGAAUCUGAAUCACCAAGUCUUCAAAGUAAAAGUUUAUUAGAGGCAGGUAAGGUUUGUUCAUUUGUUUUUUACCUCAUCAGGACUAAAACCUGUUGCUAUGUUGAGUCCUGGCAGCUUUUUGUGAUACAUGUGGACAAAGAGCAUGGCUGACCAUCUAGCAGUGGGGUUUUGCAUUCCCGGAAUGACUUUAGUAAGCAACGUAAACUGAUAUAGGUGUCAGCCCAGUGUGCUCUGGUAAGACAGGGCUCUCCAGUGGGGAGGCAUCUUACCUUCGGGGAAUGGCAAUGGCUUCUGCACCCCUUCCAUGCCUAUAAAAGAGUCCAGGAGCCAUCAGGAGCUGGAUUUGAGGGAUUAGGGCCUUAGUGAUUUGUCCAUUCCAUCGGGUUAUGGUUUCCUGACCCACAGUGUCCAUGGCCCAUAAAAGUGUAAGAAGUUGAGCCUACCAGAGCCAUACUCAACCUCACAUUUGAAUUUGGAGGAAGAUUACAUAACUGUUUACUCAACUUGACUGGCACUUGCAAAUUACCCCCCCUUUUUGCCUUUGAAUAAGUAAUGCGUAUAUGCAAACAAUAAACACCCUUGAAUGACCAGGACUCUUGAGCACUGUGGGAGACUCUACUGGGUGGUUCCCAGCUCCCAUCUUUAACUUAGCUGGGUUAUCUUCAUAUUGCUUUAGUUCCUUUAAGUGUAGGUGACAUCCCACCUCUGCAGACUUGAUGUUCCUGCAAAACCAGUGUCAUUGCACACUACUAGUGGGGAGAUGGAACUGAAAGGGAUCAAGACCUUGUAAUUAGAAGUGGGGCGGGGCUGGGGUGCUAACAGAACUCUCAGAGUUACACAGUGUUUGCAUAUUUCUGGGAUUUUUUUCCCGUCUGACCUCUGCAGUUAUCUUCUGUUACUGGGUAUCUCCUAACCACCAGAUUGAAGCUUCUACAAUUCAGAGGCUCUCAAAGUUUUGGUUUCUGCCUAUGAUUACAAAGAACCAGGGCCCAAACUGGCAUCUUUGACCUGAAAACUCUUUAAGGCUUCGUGUUUUAUAAAAUAAAGUGAUUGAGAUGUGAUUGUAUGAAUGCUGGAACUGUCCUAACACCUCCUGUGUUCCUGUCCUCAAACUGGUUAAUGCCUGGAGUUCUGCCUAUAGAGACUCAUCCUUCAGUAAAGGAGUAAUUUGCCUGGACUGAACACGCUAGCCUCAGACCUCUGCGAGCUCUUGAAACUAUACACACAGUUUGAGUGAAGUGUAUAUGCCCAUUUUUAGCCCUGAGGAGAGGAUAUUUAGAUCUUUGCAGAUACCCAAAAGGGUCUAUAACUCACCAAAAGCUUAAGAGUGAUUGCUUUUUCCAAUAAAUUGUUUUAAGUGAUUUAUUAUUUAGGUUGCAUGUGGACAUACACGCAGACACAAAUUUCAUAUAUCACAAAGAGGGCCAACUGGAAACUUUGCCUAAGGUUUUCUCUAGGGAAAAAACCUCUAUAAUCUUAUUUUUUUCCUAUUUUAAUUGAAAAUAAAAUCUGUAUACUUAUGAGGGAGAUGAUCACACUGCAGAUGCUAUGUCUCCAUUUUCAUCUUCAAAAAUAAGGAGGCCUGGUGCAGGACUGAUGGGAAUUCUGAAACUGACUCUGAGAAAUGCAAUCUCUUAAAGCAGCGGUCAUCAAACUUUUCUCAGAAGAGUUAGAUAGUAAAUAUUUUAAGCUUUGCAGGACAGGUGAUCUCUGCGGCAACUACACAACUCUGCUGUUACAGUAAAAAGAAACAAAAAAGGCAGCUGUAGACAAUAUGUAAACAGAUGAGUGUGAUGGGCUUUCAAUAAAACCUCAUUUGCAAAACCAGGUGGAAGGCCAGAUGUGACCCAUGGCAGCAGUUUGCUAAUCCCUUUAUUUUCCUUUUUCUUUCUUUCUUUUUCUUCUUUUUUUUUUUUCUUUUUUUUUUUUUGAGACGGAGUCUCUGUUGCCCAGGCUGGAGUGCCAUAGCGUGAUUUUGGCUUACUGCAAGCUCGGCCUCCUGAGUUCAAGCGAUUCUCCUGCCUCAGCCUCUCAAGUAGCUGGGACUACAGGUGCAUAGGUGCAUGCCACCACGCCUGGCUAAUUUUUUUGUAUUUUUAGUAGAGACGGGGUUUUACCGUGUUAGCCAGAAUAGUCUCAAUCUCCUGACCUCGUGAUCUGCCCACCUCGGCAGAUCAAAGUGCUGGGAUUACAGGCUUGAGCCACCACACCCAGCAGCUAAUCCCUUUCUUAAAGGUUUAAGGAUGCUAUUGAUUGAAAUUGGUAAGGCUCCCAUAUCUGCCAUGUUCAUGAUGUGUACCAACUUCAAGCUGCUUUGCAAAAACAAAAUACCUGAUCGUAUUGUCCUGUUGGUUGUUGUGUUGAAAUGAAAAUAAUUUCAACAAAUAUUUCCACAUGCUGGGCAAGCUGUGGGUGAUGUUAAACACCUAACAGUUAAAAUCAAGAACUCCACAUGCCAAAUCUUCCCAGGGGAUAAGACAAAAAUAAAACUAUAUUCUUUAAACUAUGAUUUGUCUUUUCAUGCAACUCAAGGAAAUCAGAUUUUUUGGCAAAUGAGUGCAGUAAAACAAUCCUUUUGCCCUAAGGCCUCACUCUGGGUGGGAAAUCCUUCCCUGAUCCUCCACAGGUAGAAUUCUGUUUUUUCUGGAAACCGGAUACCUUUUAGAAUCAUAGACUCUGGCAUUGCAAACACAUGCAUGUUGGGCCUGCCAGGCUUCAGGCUGUGGCUUGUCCAACUGGGGAGAAAAAAAGAAAAUAUAAUGCUCCAGAAGUCUACAGCUCCUUUCCUUUUCAAGACAAAAGAGUAGAAACACCGGUCCUCUUAUUACUUGUCACAUUUGGAAUAAUUAGACAUUCUAUCUUCCUGUUUAAUGUUUAGUUUUACAUGCUGUCUGGUUAGAACAUUUCAUAUGUGUACAAUAACAUCUAGUGAGGUUUUAACAAAUGACUUCAGAGGAAAAAGAGGAAGGAGCUGGACUGGACACCAAAUGAAUGAAAGGCUACCAAAAAGUUCAUCAAAAUCAAAACCACUCUUCUGGAUGAAAACAUACCCCCUCGACUAUAAUCCCAUCACUUUGGGAGGCUGAGGCAGGCAGAUCACUUGAGGUCAGGUGACCAGAGACCAGCCUGGCAAACAUGGCAAAACCCCAUCUCUACUAAAAAUACAAAAAUUAGCUGGGCUUGGUGGCAUGUGCCUGUAAUCCCAGCUACUAGGGAGGCUGAGACAAGAAAAUUGCUUGAGUCCAGGAGGUGGAGGUUGUAGUGAGCCGAGAUUGAGCUACCGCACUCUGGCCUGGAUGAGAGAGCAAGACCCUGUCUCAAAAAACCAAAAACAAAACAAAACAAAAAACAAAUAUACCACAUAAAAAUCAGUGAGUGCUGAGUCAACAAAAGGAAAACAAUCAAAAUGUAAGUAAGCUCUGCCCACUGCCAUCAAGGAGGUGAAAUCGUAGUUGCAGACACACACACAGACAAGCGAAGAAAGACUUUACAUUGCCAGGUAACAGAUAUAUUUAGGUUGACAUGAGGAAUCAGACUUCACAAGUGCCAAGCUAGAAGACGGCACAACAGAAAAAUCAAGGAUGCAAUGCAUACACAAGAAUCAGCAGGAAGAAAGGGGUCCUUUUUUGGGGAGUGUGCGUCAGCUUUAUUGAGGUAUAAUUUAGGAGCAGUAAAUUCACCCUUUUUAGUGUAUAUUUCUAUGAGUUUUGAUAAAUACAUAGAGUCAUGAAGUCAUAUUUCUACCAACACAAAAAUUCCCUUGCACUCUUUGGUAGUCAACUCCUCUGGCCACUCCCCAGCCCUUGGCAACCACUGUCCCUAUAGUUUUGUCUUUUCCAGAAUGUCAAAUAAAUGGAAUCAUUCAGUCAGUAGCAGUAAAGGUGAGAUUUAAAUCUUAAGCAAAGAGGAGCUUCUUAGAGCUGAAAUGUUUCUAAAGCAUCUUAAAGCAGAUGGAGCUGUUCGUAAAGGAAGCUUGUGCUACAAAAGCUGCCAUGGAUAAUGGAACUUGUGCAGGUUUGUUACUUCCACACAAUGUGUCGCUAAACAUUCUGUUGCCUCUUAGUGGCUAGCCAGGGAGUUCCCAAAGCCCCAGCCAGUAGGUGGGUUCACAGAGAUUUACUGAUGACUGCCUUGUGCUAGGAAUUAUACCAAGUAGGCUUUAGAGCUGUGGCUAUAUGUUGGGCUGUCUGCUCAGCCUAUACUUUUAUGUAGAAAUCUUCCCCACUCAGAGGUGGUGAUAUGGUUUGGAUCUGUGUCCCUGCCCAAAUCUCAUGUCAAAUGGAAAUCCCCGAUGUUGGAGGAAGGGCCUGGUGGGAGGCAACUGGAUCAUGGGGGCAGAGUUACCCCUGUUGUUCUCGUGAUAGUCAGUGAGUUCUUAUGAGAUCUGGUUGUUUAUAAGUGUAUGGCCCCUCUCCCCCUUCCUUCUCUUCCUCCUGCUCCAGCCAUGUAGGAUGUGCCUGCUUCCCCUUUGCCUUCUGCCAUGAUUGUAAGUUUCCUGAGGCCUCCCCAGCCAUGCUUCCUGUACAGCCUGCAGAACCAUGAGCCAAUUAAACCUCUUUUCUUUAUAAAUUACUCAGUAGUUCUUUAUGGCAAUGUGAGAAUGGACUAAUACAGGUUGGUCUCCCAGAGCCAUGUGUGUGCUCUAUGAUAAUGCCCUGUGGUCAUAGCUGGUUAGGCCACAGGUGAAUCUCUGACUUCAUUAAUUCAACAAAUAUUCAUUCAUUUAACAAAUAUUGAGUGCCCAUUAUGUAUCAUGGACAGUGUUGGGGGUUGGAUCAAUGCCUAGACUCAAGCUGGGGGCAUCAGAUUUUCUCUCCUGGAAUUUUAAAUUGGGCAUAAAAGACAAUCGUCAAUCUGGGCUGGUGGCUAUGGGGGGCGGGGGUGGUGCACACACCAAUAUAGUGAAGGUCUGGUUUGAGGAAAGAUGUGCAAAGAAGUGGAGAUGGGAGACUCUGGGGUCCUGAAGAGAGACCAAAACUACUCACCCCCAGUCCUUCCUGCCUUUCUGGCUACUCGUUUUCAUUCUUCUUCAUAGGAUUCUCUCCUCAUCCAUUGAGGGAUGAUGUUUCUCAAGGUUUUUCCUCUUUUCUUUUCACUCUUAACUAUUUUGCCAGGGAGACCCCAUCUACGUUCAUGUUUUCAAUUCCAUCUAUACUUUGAUGAUGCUCACAUUUAGAUGGUCAAGCAAAUCCCGCUCCCAAGGUUCAGACCCAGCUAUCAUGCUUUCUACUCAGCAUCACCACCUGGAUGUGCCAUAUUCACAAAGCUCUAUGUGUGUAGAACUGAACUGAUAUUUGAGCCCUUAGCCCUUACUCCCUGUGGUAGGCAGAAUAAUGGCCUCCAAAGAUGUCCACCUCUUAAUCACUGAAAUUUGUGAAUAUGUUGUCUUAUGUGGCAAAAGGGACUUACUUGGCAAAUGUGAAUAAGUUAAGGAUCUUGAUGGGAAGAUAAUCCUGGAUUAUGUGAGUGAAUCCAAUGUAAUCACCUGUGUCCUUAUAAGAGGGAGGCAGGAGUGUCAGAAUCAUAGAGAGAGUUUAGAAGAUGCAGCUCUACUGGCUUUGAAGAUGGAGGAAGGGGCCAUGAGCCAAGGAAUGCAGGUAGCCUGUAGAAGCCGGAGAACACAAGGAAAUGGAUUCUCCCCUAGAGCCUGCAGAAGGAAGCAGCCAUUCCAACACCUUGAUUUUAGCCCAGUGAGACCCACAUGGACAGCUGACAUCCAGACCUAUAAGAUAAUAAAUUUCUGUUAAGUCACUAAGUUUGUGAUAAUUUGUUACAGCAGCAAUAAGAAAUGAGUACACUUCCAAAAGCUCACCCUUCUACAUUUUCGAUCUCAGCAGUGUCACUUCUGUUCAUGCAGUUCAUAAAGGCAAGGCAGAAUCGUAGGAGCCAUCCUUGACUCCGUUUCCCAGGUGCACACAUCCACUCUCCUUCCUGAACACCUCUCGAAUCUACCAUUUCUUUCCAUUGCCAUAACCUAGUCUCAGCCACUAUUCUUGAUUUCUCUGGCACCUUCCUAAAUAGUUGCCCUGCCUCCCUUCACCCUAUUCUUUGCCCUGAAGUCAACAUGAACUUCCUAAAUGAAAACCUGAUCAUGUCACGUUUCUACUAUAAACCUUCAAUGGCUUCCCAUUGUCCUUAGGGUAAAGUUCAAACUUUGAUGUGGCUCACCAGGCUUGUGUUCUGUGAUGCCUAUUUUCUUCCCUAGCCAUUAUCUCUCCCCAUUCUCUUCUUUCCUGUUCUCCCCUUCAAAAUACGUAUGCUGCCUAUACCACAUGCAUUCUGGUUCUUGCAUGUGAAGUGCUCUCUCUCUCUCUCUCUCUCUCUCUCUCUCUAUCACUUCUGGGCCUUUGGACAUGAUUUUGUUUCUAUCAAGAGCAUUUCUCCCUGGCCCUUGCCUCUUUGGCUUCAGACUUUGGCUUCCUCUGGAAGCACUUCCUGACCCUUCCAGUUUGGUUUAAACGUCAUUCUUAUGUGCCCUGACACUUCGACCUCCCCUGUCUUAAUGCUCAUCAAGCUACAUUGUAAUUGCUUAUUUAAUUGUACGUCUCCUCAACUAGACUUUAAACUCCAUGAAGUUCUAGAAGAAUGGCAGCCAAGUCUGUCUUACUCAUAGUUGUAUUUCCAGCUUCUAGCACAGUGCCUGGCACAGAGGGGUUCCUCAACAAAUGUAUUUUAAAUGAAUUCAAAGAGACCCAUGGACAAAAUUGAGAAGAGGGAGAAGUCUUUUGAAGCUGAUGGUGUUGGAGGGGCAGAGGGAGGUGGGAAUCAAGAAACACUUCAGGGAAUAUGUAGUGUUUGUACUGGGCCCUUGUCCAGCUUUUGAGCUGUUGUCCUGCACCCCCAGCUGCCUUUCUAUAUUAUGCUCUGUAGAGGUACGAACAGGUGUCUGAAAACUACAUUUCCUAGGCUCCCUUGCCAGCUGGGUCCAGAGGAAAAUCCAAAGGCAGCAGCAGAGAGAAGAGUCCUGCUCUAGUUUUGAGAGUGAAGACUGCUGGAAGUUGCUGGAGCAGCAGCAGGGGUUGCAGGGAGGAGGAGAAUUCCAGAUUGCAGCAGCCCAGGCAGAGGCAGCAGCUUUCCAGCAGUUCCAGCCAUGUCCCUUUGUCUCUCCAGAACUGGCAAGCCUCACAGCAGCAAGUGUGAAUGUAGGGACUUCAGCCCAAGGAAUUUUAGCUAUGGCUUCUUUUCUUGCUCCUUUAACCCCUCUGUUUCUUCCAUUUACUCUUCCAAACCUCCCAGCACCUUGGAAAUCAAUUCACUGUAUCAAAUUCCCUGUGUUUGAAACAUCUAGAGUGGGAGUCUAUUUUCGAGCCUGGACCCAGACCCAUAUUGCCUUGAAGACAGGAUAGCGGGAGAAGACAGAAAGGCAUUCCAUUGGAGAGACUGCCCCAAGCAAGUGUCCAGAAUGGGAAUGUUUGGAGGGGUUGUGGAGAGUGAAAAUCAACCUAUUUGGUUAGGGCAUAGUGAAUGAAUAGGAGAGUGGCAAGUCACUAAACCACAGAGGCAUAAAAGGUCUAUAUAAUGGAGAAGCUCCAAUACUGGGUGGAAAAGUUUGUACUGGUUUUGGUAAGCAAUAGAGAUUCACUGAGGCCUGAGUCAAGUGCCAUAAUGGGAGAUGGGCAUGGAGAAGACCAUUUUGCUUAGUGGUGAGUGUGAUGAGUUGGAAAAAAAAGAAAGAUGCAAUAGACUAGCAAAUAUGUAGUAUUUAGAGGCACUGGUUGGAUGAGAUGAAUGAGAGAGGAAAAUCAAAGAUGGCACCACAAUUUUCCCCCUGUUUAACUGGAAGGUAGGGCCCCUAGGAGAUGUCAGGAAGAUAUCAGGAAGAAUGAAAGUGGCUUGAAAGCUGUGGAAGGCAGAGAAUAAUAUUUGGCAUCUGUAUAGCACUUGGAGUUUUCACAUAUGUGAUAUCAUUUGAUUUAAAUUCCAAUCUCUUAGCUCUUUUCACUAGUCAUUGAUAUUGAUCUAUAACUGGGCAAAGAAGCUGAGGCUACAUAACAUGAUUUAGCGAUCAUCUGUAUGGAGGAGACAAGCAAAAACAGGACACCGGAUGAGAUCACUAAGGGCAAGAGUAGAGAAGCCAGACCUACAAGGAUGCAUGUGGGGUGCGGGUGAGUCUGGGAAGGAUGAAAUGUUGGAGGUAAGAGAAAGGCUGGUUAGAAAGGAGGAUGGUAAGUAUUGAUAGCAGGAGGACCAAGACAGUUGGUGCUACAUAAGCCCAGAGAGAAGGAGAUUUUAUAAAAAAAUUGGACAUUUUUUCCCCUAAAAAAUGACUGUCACAUUCUGCAAGGUGUUAAGGAGAAUAAAGGUUGAAGAAAAAUCCACUGGGUUUGCAGAUAACAGUUUCAAUGAUUAAGUGGGGACAGAAUCUAUAUUUCUUGUGGCUAAAGAGUGGUUGAAUUAUAAGAAACAAGGCAAUGAGAAUGGCUCAUUUUCCCAUUCUCUUGGCCCCUUUCCCAUCCAUUUCCUCUGUUUGCCACCAAGUCCUUCCCUCCUCAUACCCUCAGCCUACUCACCCAUGCAACUUCCGAUACCACCUGCAUCUGAGUGUAGAAUGGGCCAGUUGUUGGACGUAUGUAUACGAAGCUGGCUCACUGACUUGCAAGUUUGGAUUUCAGAGAGACACAGUCUGUGUGACCAGUAUCAGCUUACUGUAGAGGCUGAAAGUAUUUAUUAGUGUCAAAGGUUGGUACUUAAAGUUGUAGACACCAGCUCAAAGUUUUUUAUUAAAGACAUCUAGCAGUUUAUUAAGCAAAGGCUGGCUGACAUAUAUGACUUCAUGAAAAACGGGAAUAAAAGAAUUAUACAAUUUUCUCCCUUUAAAAAAAAAGCAUCGCUUGUGUUCUUACAUACUUGACAUCCACUAGAAGUCAUAAAAUCACACCAACACAGUAUAUAUGUUAAAAGCUCCAUAUCUCCUGAACCCCUGGUGAAGUCUGCAGAACACAUUCAAAACAGUUGGUGAGAGUAGGCCACAGCGGGAGGGAGCAGACUUCCUGUACUUUGUCAGACUGGAGGAAGUCAAAGUUAAAAUCUGAUUACUUCGCAAGGAUUCCAAAACCUGAUCUAAAUCGCCUUUCAGAAUCUGUUAACAAAUCAAAGAGCAUUUCCAGUAGCACCAAGCAAGAGGCCUUAUGGCCUGAUAAUUCUGGUAAGUUCCACUUUUGGGAUAGGGAAUAUUUGACCAAGUUAGAUCCUUCAUAAAAUGCAGAGCCUGUUAAACCCCAACCUAAAUAUGUUCAUAAUAAAAUAUCAGCCUUCCAAAUUACAUUCUAUAUGAACAAACAAGCCCACGAAACAUCCAAACAACAGUGCAGUAGGUGGAAACAGAUGUCAUCAUUUAUUUUAAGAUUCGUUUAUUCAACAAUCGAAUGGAGGAAUGUUGCUUAUUCUAUACAACAUCUUAGGAUUUAAGUAGUUUACCUGCUAUUUUGAAACAUGCAUAGGGCUGUCAAAUAGUUUCCUGGGUUUUCAGAAUAGCUCCUAAACUGUGCAACUCUGCUUUCUUUCCACAAUAUAAACAAAAAGGGUUUUUUUUUCCUUAAACUUGCCAUAAAAACGAUGUCGUCAUAGGAUAAAAAUUUUAAAGCGGCUUUAAAAAAUUAAAACCUAUGAAUUAGUCUCAAGCAGCCUAACUUUAUUUUUCUAACCACCAAUUCCAACAGUAAUAAAUACUUAUGAUUGAGAUCUCUGAGUAUGAUACUUAUAAUAGGACAUAGUAAAAGCCUAGUUAAUUUCCACUUCUGGUCUUGAAUCGAUUUUUUUCUAAUGUGUAAAAUUUCAAACAGAGCUCUUGCUUCAUUUCAUGUUACUUUCCUUCUUUAUUUAGUUAAAGAAGAUGUGUGGGAAGGAGCAUGAGGGAGGCAUAGGGAUAGCAGGGUGGGUUCAAUCUCCUUUUCCAUCACCCCCCCGCCCUUUCUGUCAAAAAAAAAAUGCUGAAAAAAUUAGUCUCUACCCUUGCUGGCUCAACUUCAUCACCUCCCAUUCACUUAUCCGCCCACUGCCAUCUGGCUUCCAUCCCAAAACUCCAUUCAGAUUGUUCUCAUUAAGAUCACCAAUGCUUUCCUCCUUGCCAGAUCCAAUGACCUAUUUUUAGGUCUCCUCCUGGUUGACCUUCUGCGGCAUUGCACAUGCAAUGCAGACCCGAGGCUCCAAACUCACAUGCCCAUAGGCUGGCUGCAGUCUACACAGGUGAAGCUGGGUUUGGUAUUGCGUAGGGUGAGUCACAGGAAGCCUGUCCAACUGUGGGCAUGUGUCCCUUCUAAGGUAGCAGCUGCUGCUGUCUCUGGUUGAUUUUGGUCAUGGAGGAAUGUGGACACCGCAUUGAUAAAUAUUUUGAUUUUUUUUUUUAAAGAAAACUUGGUUUUUAUGAGAAUGUUUAUAAUUCUUCUUUCUUUCUCUUUCUCUCUUCCUCUCUUUCUUUCUUUCUUUUUGACUGAGUUAUACUCUGUCGCCCAGGCUGGAGUGCAGUGGUGUGACCUCAGCUCACUGCAACCUCCGCCUCCUGGGUUCAAGUGAUUCUCCUGCCUCAGCCUCCUGAGUAGCUGGGAUUACAUGUGCCCACCAUCAUGCCCAGCCAAUUUUUGUAUUUUUAGUAGAGACGAGGUCUUACCAUGUUGGCCAGGAUGGUCUCAAACUCCUGACCUCAGGCAAUCUGCCUGCCUUGGCCUCCCAAAGUCCUGGGAUUACAGGUGUGAGCCACUGCACCCAGCCUCUAAUUUCUAACUAUUGGCUCAAUUUUCGUUUAAUGCUUGUAGGGAAAGUAGACAUCACUGUAGACCUCCGAGGAGAAGACUGUACUGUAGAUGAGUCUAUGGUUCUCUUGCCCUCUGGGCCUGGUUCUUUAUAGGUUCUGCCUAUUUGUUUCUGCCCAUUUUUCUGCUGUUCCCCUGGCCCCCAUACCUACCUCAAUCAUAUUGAGGCUCCUUGUGUUCCUUCUUAGUCCCCUUCUAUUUUCUCCUCCUCGUGGGAAAUGUUGUAGACCCAGGGCUAGCUUCCUGGGCUUGCAGUCAGUGCAGUUGCCCUGAGCCCCACAUUCAGAAGGGCUCCAUGCUCAUGGGUUAGUGCUCUGCAGCUGCUAUCUUGAAAUUCUUACGUUAUCUCUGAAUUUAUGUUUUGUGAGUGAAAUACGAUGGGAUAACGAGCAUGUGCCAGGGACUUAGCAUUUCAGCUCAAGCGCUGUCCUUCUCACUGCCCUUCUUCUCACUUCUCAGCCUGAGAAGAGUUCUUGGCCACCUGUUCCUUCAACCUUCCCCGACCCAGGUCCUGCCACUCUCCUCCUCUAACCCUUCCCCCCAAGACUGCCAUUAUCCUCCACCCUGGCAGGAAGCUGAGUGCAGGUGUAAGAAGGGUUGGGGUCCUUGCACCUGCAUCUCUAGUCAAGGCCUGGCAACAGUGGCUGUCCUCACCCUAGCCUGAGUGCAUGAGGCUGGAUACAGUGGCUCAUGCCUGUAAUCCCAGCACUUUUGGAGGCUAAGGUGGGCGGAUCACCUGAGGUCAGGAGUUUGAGCCCACCCUGGCCAACAUGGAGAAACCAAAAAUACAAAAUUCUCUACCAAAAAUACAAAAAUUAGCCAGGCAUGGUGGCGUGUGCCUGUAGUCCCAGCUACUCGGGAGGCUGAGCAAGAGAAUUGCUUGAACCUGGGAGGUAGAGGUUGCAGUGAGCUGAGAUCACCCCACUGCACUCCAGCCUGGGUGACAGAGUGAGACUCUGUCUCAAAAAAAAAAAAAAAAAAGUGUAUGACUUGUUGAGGGUCAGCCUGUUACCCCCUGUGAUCCAAGUCCCUAGCACAUCUUGAUGCAGAGGUUGCAAUAUCCUUGGGAUUGCCCAUCUGCUAUGGGCUGGGACAACUGACUCUUGGAAAGUGGAGAUGCCUGACUUGACUUCCCAGCCCCUCACUGAGGUGUGGUGCAUGCGAGCUGGUGAGAGGGGGAACAUGGCAGCUGUCAGGCUCAAGGGCAUAUGGAACUUCCAAGUCCCACGGCAGCAACCAGAGCAUCUGGGAGAGUCUGAACUUACCCUACGCGUAUUUUUGGAUCCUUUGGGCCACUCUGUGCCUGUGAGAACCUUUUCUUUCUCCUUUUAGCUUCUCUGAGUCUGGCUUGUGUUCAUUUCUUCUGACCAGCUUGAGACACCAUCCGGGGUCAAGCCAUAAAAUAUGAAUGGUGUGAUGUCAGUGAUUCUGACAGGAGCUCAAUGUUCUAAUAUUUACAUCUAGAACUGGCAUUGCACAAUAUAAAGAUGAACAGUAAAAUUCAUGCCAGUAAUUUAAAAUCUUUAUUUAGAGCAAUAUUAAAUAGUGAAUUAAAAACUCACCAUGACAUGUUGAGAGAGAAAGAGAGAUCUUGGAGGAAAGGGAAUAGUUUAUAUUUUAGGACCUUAGUAUCUUUAGUCAUUUUAAUGGCAAUUUUCCUGCUCUUUGAACAAAGGCCACCAAAUUUUUAUUUUUUAUCAGGCCCCACAAAUUGUAUACCUGGUUCUGCCCAGGCCUGCUUUUGCUGAUGGUUCCCCACUACAUCUUCAGUCUGGAUUCUGCAUCUCCUCUCCAGACCUGCUGUAUCUUGGGGGUUUGCAGGCAACUCAAGCUCAACAUGUUCUCACCUGACAUCAUCCCUCAAGUGUGUUUCUCCCUUUACAUUUCCUUGUUUUCCUUUUUCUUUUCUUUUCUUUUCUUUUUUUUUUUUUUUUUUUUUUGAGACAGGGUCUCACUCUGUCACCCAGGCUGGAGUGCAGUGGUGUGAUCACGGUUCACUGCAGCCUCCAACUCCUGGGCACAGGUGAUCCCCCCACCACAGGGUAGCUGGGACUAUAGGCAUGCACCACCACACCUGGCUUUCCUUCUCCUUCCUUCCCUUUCUUCCCUUCCUUCCCUCCCUCCCUCCCUCCCUCUUUCUUUCCUUUUCCUUCCUCCCUCCCUUUCUUUCUUUCUUUCUUUCUUUCUUUCUUUCUUUCUUUCUUUCUUUCUUUCUUUCUUUCUUUUUCUUUCUUCUUUCCUUUCUUUCUCUUAUUUUUUUGUAAAGAUGGGGUUUCACCAUGUUGCCCCCGGCUGGUCUUGAACUCCUGGGCUCAAGCAAUUUGCCUGCCUCAGCCUCCCCAAAUGCUGGGAUUAGGAUUAUAGGCGUGAGCCACAGUGCCUGGCCUAUUUCCAUGUUUUCUUAAUGAAAUAUCAUCUCGACACACAUUUGUAACAGAGUAGUUGCUAAAUUGUUGAAUGGAUGAAUGAAAUCGUAGAAACAUUUUCAUUUUUCUCUGUUCUUUCACAGAAAAAGGAAGAAUUAAGUCUUCCUGGGCAAUUAGGAAAAGGCUCUUGGAGGAGGUAAUAUAUGAUCUGUGGUUUUAAGAAUGAACAGGUCUUUCAGGCAGCAUGCAUGAUACGUUUCUACAGCUAUCUGGGUGACUAGAAGUUAUUUCUGAGCACAGGCUUGUCAUGGAGAAGAAAAGGGGAAGGAGAAGAAUCAGGAACAACAAUUCUUCCACUGCCAGAAACAUAAAACAUAACUGAAAUUAAUGAGUUGCAAAAUAAUUCCUGUAUUAAAAAUUUUUUGGAACGUGUUCACAUGACACUUUUUAAAGCUUCAUGCUUGUUUGGUUAAGGUCCAUACAUAUCAAUGUCACAUCCAAGUAAAUCUAUGUCUCCCCAAACUUUUCAGUCACAUAAUACAUUUCAUUACGACUCUUCUAUAUUCACAUAAUGCUUUUCCCAGUGUCUUACAGAUAACCCAUCCUUCAUCUAGGUAUCAGAGGUUGGGAUUCAACAUCUCAAAUAGAGAAAGAAGAGAUAGUGCUGACCAUGAAGACAUCUGGUAAAAUGUAGCAUUGACAUCGGAGACCAUUAACGGCAUAUACUAUAUUACAAUUUUAUCAACAGUAAAUAUGACAUCCGAGAUAAAGUUGUUAACCCAAACUAAAUUUUAAACUUUAUUAAUAGCAGAGCAAGAGUUCCUUCCAGUUAAAAACAGAAUCAUAUAAUCUUGGUAAAGUCAAGACAGAUACGAUCCUCAACUACCUUUGUGUCAAGCAGUUAUUUGUGUUGCUAUAAAGGUGUACCCUAGACCAGGUAAUUUACAAAGAAAAGAGGUUUAAUUGAAUCAUGAUUCUGCAGGCUGUACAAGCAGGGCACCAGCACCUGCUCAGCUUCUGGGGAGGCCUUGGAGAGCUUUUACCCAUGACAGAAGGUGAAGCAGGAACAGGCCUGUCACAGGGCAAGAGAGGGAGCAAGAGAAAGAGAGUGUGGAAGUGCCACACACUCUCAAACAACCAGAUCUCGUGUGAACUCACACAUCACCAAGGGGAUGGCACCAAGCCUUUCAUGAGGGACCCGGCCCCACGAUCCAAACACCUCCUACCAUGUCCACCUCCAACACUGGGGAAAAUAUUUUAACAUGGGAUUUGGAGGGGACAUCCAAACUAUAUAACCUUAAAAUAAAGCAGGUAACUCUCCAGCAAUUCCUAAAUUAAGUCUUCAUAUCUUGAUUCCAUUAUUUCAGGUCUAGGCUAAAACAUCUGAAGUGUCUGUUAGAAGUGCCAGUACUUCAACGUCAUCCCAGACCCACUAAAUUAGAAUCUUUAGGGGACGAGUUGAGAAAACUGCAUUUUAAAUCAGCCCUCUGCCCCAUCCUAGGUGACCUGUUAUGUACUCCAGGUUUUAGGAAAACCCAACCUCCAACAUAAAUACAAGAAUUUUAGAUCGUCAAAUAAAAUAGCUUUUCAUUUCUCUUGAAUAUUAUCGGGAAAAUGAGAAGUUCUAGCUAAGUGGAUUUCCAGAAGAAUUUAAUUUCAUAAGUCCCAAAACUUUGAAAUAUUUAAAGCAUUGUAAUGAAAAUCCUUCUAAACUGUGUUAUAGAAUGCUCUGUCUUCUCAAACAAAAUAUAUUGCACAAACUGGACAUUUGUAUUAGUGACUCAGGAUCAUUAUUACAAAUAUCCAUUAUUGUAAGAAUAGCUGAAGAAGUUAUUCAAGUCUGUAAAACUGCGAUCCUAUGCUAAAUGGCUGCAGCCAGCUGUGUUUUAUGGGGAUACAGUUGCUUUUUUUGUGUUUUAUUUAAAUAUUUUCCUGUUUUUUCCUUUGCUGUCAGCUAACUUUUAUUAAUGGUACCACUAUUUUUUUCUACUUUCCGCUUUUCUCCUUAAUAACCUAUGAGAAAGCAUGAGGAACUCUUUAUGAGUAAAGUUCUUGUGUGGGUGGAAGGAUCCCUUGGGAUGUUUUCAGGUGUUAUAAACCACAGUUCAGAUUGGCUGAAACAAUGAGGGAAUUCAUUAUUUCACAUACCAAGAACCUCUGUUUUGUAUAGUUGAAAUUAAAUUAUAUAU